UAUUUUCAAAGCCUUGAGACAGUUGGGCAGGCAACUGGGAAAAAUGAGGUAUACUGUACAACUUCUGAUGAAAAAGUACCCAAAUCUAUGCAGGGUGCUUCUAGACCCACCGACAUCAGUAUGCCUCACAGAGCUGAAUUCCUACAGGGCCAAGAUGAGGGUCAUGUAAGGGAACGGUCUCAGCCACACCAGACAGAGGACACUGCUUACCCAGCUGGUGAUGAUUUCAGGGAAGCCAAUAUCAGAAAAGAAGGCAGAGAUGAUUUUGGAAAUAGAGGGCCAGAAUGGGGAAACACUGAAGGGCAUUCUCAAAGUGAUUAUGUCCAUUCCAAGAGGACCUCUGAUGCAGUUCGGGGCACAGAAGGCUCACUUUACACUACCUGUGAGGAAGCCCUUGAAGGAGAAUGGUACUAUCCAGGGAAAAGGGUGAAGCAUAAAGUCAUUGCAUUUGAAAAGCUGCAUCGUGCAGAAAAGGGAGUUUUUGAAAAAAGACGGACCAAGAAAUCAUUUGUUAGCUCCCCGCAGAAGAAACCAGAUGAUCUAGAGUUCUCGUUAAAGCAAAAAGAAUCAGGCUCCAGCGAUCUGAGAGGAAAUGUGCAUCCGGCGGUGGAAAUGUCUUCACACCCAGAAGCAGAUUUAUCUAGCAUCGUGAUGGAUUUGAAGCAGCUUUCUUCUCAGGCUCAUGGGAAACUGGAAAUGGAAGAGAGGGAACAACAGGAAGAAAUGCUUCCUCUUGAUCGAACUGUAGUCUCAGAAAAGGUUGAGUUGGAAGCACCUGUCACGUUUGACCUAAAGCAGUUUCACUCACAGACAGAAAGUGCAAGAAUAACGGUCCAAGACUUGGCCAAUGGCCUACAAGGUGAAGGCUCUUUAACAACUCAACAACCUGCUUCAGAAACAGCUAAUCCUGAAGACAUUGUCUUUGAUCUAAAGCAAAUGUAUUCUCACAUAGAAGAGCCAGGCACGGUGUUCCAGGGCCAAGAAACUGAAAGCAAGGAAGAAAAGCACAACGAAGAGGACAUUUCUAUCUGCCAGAACUUUCAGUACGCACAGGAACAAAACACGGCAAUUUUAAAAACUGACCAUGCACUUAAGCCUUUCUCUGAAGCAGUCGAUGAAUCAUGGGUUUUAUUUCAGACUUCAUCUGCUGACACAGGAGAAAGUCAUGUUUCUGAGAAGAAUGGUUCUGUAGAAAACGGAGAAAGGAGUUUCAUCUCACAGUUGAAAAGGGCAGCCAGUGAGGGAGAGCUUUUGGGGGAUCAUGAAACGGAAGAGGAA
rnacentral:lncRNA from 1 species